rnacentral:siRNA from 1 species
UGCUCAGCUGUAUUUGCUGGUC